rnacentral:rRNA from 1 species
CCUACGGGAGGCAGCAGUGGGGAAUAUUGCACAAUGGACGAAAGUCUGAUGCAGCAACGCCGCGUGGAGGAUGACACAUUUCGGUGCGUAAACUCCUUUUAUAUAGGAAGAUAAUGACGGUACUAUAUGAAUAAGCGCCGGCUAACUCCGUGCCAGCAGCCGCGGUAAUACGGAGGGCGCAAGCGUUACUCGGAAUCACUGGGCGUAAAGAGCGUGUAGGCGGAUAAAUAAGUUGGGAGUGAAAUCCUAUGGCUCAACCAUAGAACUGCUUCCAAAACUGUUUAUCUAGAAUAUGGGAGAGGUAGAUGGAAUUUCUGGUGUAGGGGUAAAAUCCGUAGAGAUCAGAAGGAAUACCGAUUGCGAAGGCGAUCUACUGGAACAUUAUUGACGCUGAGACGCGAAAGCGUGGGGAGCAAACAGGAUUAGAUACCCUGGUAGUCCACGCCCUAAACGAUGUACACUAGUUGUUGUGAGGCUAGACCUUGCAGUAAUGCAGUUAACACAUUAAGUGUACCGCCUGGGGAGUACGGUCGCAAGAUUAAAACUCAAAGGAAUUGACGGA